UGGGGAAUAUUGCACAAUGGGCGCAAGCCUGAUGCAGCCAUGCCGCGUGUGUGAAGAAGGCCUUCGGGUUGUAAAGCACUUUCAGCGAGGAGGAAGGUGGUGAACUUAAUACGUUCAUCAAUUGACGUUACUCGCAGAAGAAGCACCGGCUAACUCCGUGCCAGCAGCCGCGGUAAUACGGAGGGUGCAAGCGUUAAUCGGAAUUACUGGGCGUAAAGCGCACGCAGGCGGUUUGUUAAGUCAGAUGUGAAAUCCCCGGGCUCAACCUGGGAACUGCAUUUGAAACUGGCAAGCUAGAGUCUCGUAGAGGGGGGUAGAAUUCCAGGUGUAGCGGUGAAAUGCGUAGAGAUCUGGAGGAAUACCGGUGGCGAAGGCGGCCCCCCUGGACGAAGACUGACGCUCAGGUGCGAAAGCGUGGGGGGCAAACAGGAUUAGAUACCCUGGUAGUCCACGCUGUAAACGAUGUCGAUUUGGAGGUUGUGCCCUUGAGGCGUGGCUUCCGGAGCUAACGCGUUAAAUCGACCGCCUGGGGAGUACGGCCGCAAGGUUAAAACUCAAAUGAAUUGAC
rnacentral:rRNA from 1 species